GAAAGAAGAAGAAGAUGAAGAAGAA
rnacentral:sRNA from 1 species